rnacentral:rRNA from 1 species
GUCCUCUUGAUGAUAUUUUGAGGUCUGGCCUGCUCACUGACAAGGUUUUGAAGAGCCGCGGUAUUUUGACCGUGCAAAGGUAGCAUAAUCAUUAGUCUCUUAAUUAGGGGCUGGAAUGAAUGGCUUGACGAGAAAUCAACUGUCUCUUAAUAAUUUUUAAAAUUUAACUUUUGAGUCAAAAGGCUUAAAUUUUUCUUUAGGACGAGAAGACCCUAUAGAGCUUAACAUUUUAUUUUUAUAUAGUUUUUAGUUGAUUUUUCUAUAUUUAAUGAUAAUGUUUUGUUGGGGUGACAUGAAGAAUAAUUAAACUCUUCAUUAUAAAAUCAUUGAUUUAUGUUUAUCAUGAUCCAUAAUUUAUGAUCAUAAGAUUAAGUUACCUUAGGGAUAACAGCGUAAUUGUUUUCGAGAGCUCAUAUCGACAAAGCAGAUUGCGACCUCGAUGUUGGAUUAAGAAAAAUUUUGGGUGCAGGAGCCCAAUAAUUAGGUCUGUUCGACCUUUAAAUUCUUACA